AUGUCAACAUGAGCAAAUCUAGGACUUCAAGAUAGAGCCUCUCCUUUAAUAGAACAACUAACAUUUUUUCAUGACCACGCCAUACUCAUUUUAGUUAUAAUUACUAUCUUAGUAGGUUAUAUUAUAAUUAUACUAUUCUCAAACAUCUUCACCAACCGAUUCCUUCUUCAUGGACAAACUAUUGAAAUAAUUUGAACUAUUCUGCCCGCCAUUGUCCUUUUAUUCAUUGCAUUCCCCUCGCUCCGAUUACUUUAUCUCCUAGAUGAAAUUAAUGAACCAAUUAUUACUUUAAAAACAAUUGGCCACCAAUGAUACUGAAGCUAUGAAUACUCAGAUUUUAUUGAUUUAGAAUUUGACUCUUAUAUAAUCCCAACAAAUGAACUUGCUACCGAUGGAUUCCGUUUAUUAGAUGUAGAUAACCAUAUUGUACUCCCCAUAAACACUCAAAUCCGAAUUUUAGUUACAGCAGCUGAUGUAAUCCAUUCAUGAACCAUCCCAGCCCUAGGUAUCAAAGUUGAUGGUACACCUGGACGUCUAAAUCAAACAAAUUUUACUAUUAACCGCCCAGGAUUAUAUUAUGGCCAAUGCUCCGAAAUCUGCGGAGCCAACCACAGAUUCAUACCUAUUGUAAUUGAAAGUGUCCCCACCAACUAUUUCAUUAAGUGGUUACUU
rnacentral:rRNA from 1 species